rnacentral:rRNA from 1 species
CACGAACCGGACAAACGUUAUUCGGAAUCACUGGGCUUAAAGGGUGCGUAGGCGGUCUGACAAGUUGGGUGUGAAAUCCCUCGGCUCAACCGAGGAAUAGCGCUCAAAACUGUUGGACUUGAGGGAGUUAGAGGUAAGCGGAACUUAGGGUGGAGCGGUGAAAUGCGUUGAUAUCCUAAGGAACACCAGUGGCGAAAGCGGCUUACUGGAGCUUUUCUGACGCUGAGGCACGAAAGCCAGGGGAGCGAAC